GGAGGUCGCGUAGCAAAAAUGAGCGAGAGACAAGGAGUGAGGAGUGAAUUGUGAGCUGUCAAAACUGCGUAAAAAACAAACUUGACCAUCACCAUAACUCCGAGAGAGAGAGAGAGAGAGGAGGUGGGGGGGGCUCCCGGGGGGCGACGGGUAAAACACCUCCCGGUGUGGGGGCCCCCCUGAUGUUGUGAUCGUCGCGGGCGCGCUCGCACACAGGCGCGACGCGCUGUUCGGUUCGUGCGAGUGCGCACGCGGGAGGAGACGCGGACAGAAGAAGGUUAGGA
ensembl:ncRNA H30A04.5 ncRNA